rnacentral:lncRNA from 1 species
AUGGAUAGUGAUGAUAACCAUGGCAGGCCAAAGUUUUAUGAUAAGAAUAAAGUUGGUGACAAGAUGUCCUGUGACAGGCAUCCCAUCAGGCAUGGGAGAGGGCUGCAAGACAACAGGCUCUGCAUAUGCUGUAAAUCUGGUUGGUUCUGUGAUGCCAGCAUGGCUGCUCUACUCUCUAUUAAGAUAAGUCUAUCUAUCCUUAGCUUGCUGAAUUUUCUAGGUAGCACUAGCAGUAAACAGGAAGUACCAAACGAAAUCUUAGAUGUGGUUUAAGAAAAGUAUUUGUGCCUACUUCCUGUGAAGUCUGUCUUGAGGAAAUGCCUCUAGGGUUCUUAAAAUGUGAGGGGGGGUUAGGUCUUAAUAUAGCAAGCUAAUGUUCAAGUUCUCCCUAUCCUAUCUAGGAGGGACAAAUACAGCUAUUAUACAAGAAAGCUACAGCUUCAGUUAUGGUCUGUGAAGCCAUUGGUGAGUAGUUCAACAGGCUGCUGAAAUCAUCUUUGGGAGUUUAGACACAUUCAUAGGAUCUAUUUACUGGUACCAUUUGUAGAAGGAAUCAGUUCCAAAGUCUUCACUUUGCUUCAUUCUAAGCUUCUAAAUUCCUUUGUUUCCAGAGCGCAGCAGUGAAUACUGGCACUCCACAAUUAACAUAAAUAUGGAUAUAAUAAAACCUGUGACUAGAAUAGGCUUUUUAUUCCC